UCAAGCGCGAAAAUGAUAAAGGUUUGAGAAGUGGUAAUGUUAAUCAUUAUUAGAAGCAUGCAGAAACGAAAACAAUGGUGGAAGGGUUAUUGAGUAUUUGGAGACAAACUGGCGACCGACCAUUAUGCGAAAAAUAAACAAAUGUUCAAUCGAUA